AUUGAACGCUGGCGGCAGGCCUAACACAUGCAAGUCGAGCGAGCGGCGGACGGGUGAGUAAUGUAUGGGGACUGCCCGCUAGAGGGGGAUAACUACUGGAAACGGUAGCUAAUAACGCAUACUAUCGGAUAACCCAUAUUGGAUAAGCUAGUAGGUGAGGUAAUGGCUCACCUAGGCGACGAUCCCUAGCUGGUCUGAGAGGAUGAUCAGCAACACUGGGACUGAGACACGGCCCAGACUCCUACGGAGGCAGCAGUGGGGAAUAUUGGAAAAUGGGCGCAAGCCUGAUGCAGCAAGGCGGCGUGUAGGAAGAAGGCCUUCGGGUUGUAAAGUACGUUCAGUCGGGAGGCGUUAACGACAGAAGAAGCACCGGCUAACUCCGUGCCAGCAGCCGCGGUAAUAC
rnacentral:rRNA from 1 species